rnacentral:rRNA from 1 species
UACGGGGGGGGCAAGCGUUGUUCGGAAUUACUGGGCGUAAAGGGCUCGUAGGCGGCCAACUAAGUCAGACGUGAAAUCCCUCGGCUUAACCUGGGAAUGGCAUUUGAGACUGCAUAGCUAGGGUGCGGAAGAGGGAAGCGGAAUUUCCGGUGUAGCGGUGAAAUGCGUAGAUAUCGGAAGGAACACCAGUGGCGAAAGCGGCUUCCUGGUCCAGCACCGACGUUCAGGCACGAAGGCGUGGGGAGCAAACAGG